AACCAGCACCUCAAGUGGUCAGGAUGAUUAUUGGGCCUAAAGCAUCCGUAGCCUGUUCUGUAAGUUUUCGGUUAAAUCUAUGCGCUCAACGUAUAGGCUGCCGAAAAUACUGCAGAACUAGGGAGUGGGAGAGGUAGACGGUACUCGGUAGGAAGGGGUAAAAUCCUUUGAUCUAUUGAUGACCACCUGUGGCGAAGGCGCUCUGCUGGGCCAUCACUGACGCUCAUGGACGAAAGCCAGGGGAGCGAAAGGG
rnacentral:rRNA from 1 species